UUCUGUACAGGCUUCCUUCUUUUCACUCUGUCAUUUAGGUUAGUAAUGUGGAGUAACUACAAUGUUGUUGAUCCAUCCUCAGUGUUCUCCUAUCACAGCCAUUAAACUCUGUCAUUUAGGUUAGUAUUGUGGAGUAACUCCAAUGUUGUUGAUCCAUCCUCAGUGUUCUCCUAUCACAGCCAUUAAACUCUGUAACUGUUUUAAAUUCA